ensembl:lncRNA
AAACAGUAAAUGUGAGCUUCAGUAUUCUUAAUACUAGAUCAUUCUCUGUAUACUACAUUUGGCCAUACAUUUUCCAAAAUUAUUAUUGAUAUUUGAUGCUUAAUUAAGACCAUUUAAGUCACCUUAUUUUUUCAAAAACUUCAAAAAUACUCAUAUCCUACUUUCCUUAAAAGUAACGUCUCCUCUGGAAAAAGUUAUGAUCCAUCUGGACCCUUUCCUGUCUAACCUACUGCAGGGAACUUCUUUAGCAGUGAGAUUGGACUGGGUGAUCUCCAGAGGUGCCUUCCAACCGCUGCGAUUCCAUGAUUCAGUGAUUACGAUUCUUUGCAGGAAAACAGCAAGACCUCUCCUUGGAGUAGGACCCAAUUUAUCUGGCAGUCCUACAUAUAGAGAUGAGCAUUUUCGGCGUCUGUAAUACUGCUGAUCUGUUCUGUCUAAACCUAAGCUGUAUCUUUGAGAAGAGUCUUUGGCCAUUUGGUCCCUUUCAAAGGAAGACUUGAAGGUAUAAUAACACUGUAAUGCAUGUCUGAAUUUGUCCUGUGGCCUAUUCCUAAAAAUAAGAUUUUGAAUUAACUUCAAGCUUUCCUCCUCAAAUGGUGUGCUGCAUCAACUUUUGUUCAAAGGGUGCUGCACUUCAUUUCAGGAAACACAAUUUGAUUGGGCUCCAGGACUUCUGAUUUGUUCUCCUCAACCACUGGACAUCACAAAGGGCUGAAAGCCAAUCCUAAUUUUUUGCUGAAGAUUCAGUGGGGCAACAUAGAUUAAUUCCUUUUGCCUCUGCUACCAGAACAUCUUGCAAAAGGAGACUAAAGGAAUGGAUGAAGAUAGAAUGAGCACUAGAUUCCCACAAACAUUGUCCACGGAGAUUCUGAAGUCCUAAACUGGAAGAGAGGAGGAUAUCUUGUGUGGGGCUCCAACCAGGUGUGAAGUUGUUUGCAUUCCUAAGCACUGUGUUAAUAGAGAGCUAAACAUUUCUCUGAUAUGGCAAAGAAGUAUCCUGCACUGAUGCCAUGGACAAUGGAAAUUUUUUUCAAACUAACUGCAUGAUUAAACUGUACUUGUUUUCAUUUGAUUGUAUGACCUUAAUACGCUUAAUACGCUGAAGUAUUUCUUUGCAAGUUGUUAAACUCCUGUUCUGUACUUUAUAUGCAGUUAUGUUCACCUGUUAGAAAGAUACCCAAUAUUUAUGAUUCUGUAGACAUCAGCAGUAGAGCUAGCAGAGAAGUCUCUUACUCAGAGCUGAAUUAAUAACCUGGCGUAGCAUCGGGGCCAUUGUGCUGGUGGAAGUUAUAUAUUUCAGAUAAGACACGUUGUUUUGCAUAACUGAACUAGUGAAUAGUAUUAAUGUUACCAGGACAUUGGAAUAAUUCAGUGAUGAGAAAAAAUAUUCCAUGAUCUCUAAUCCUACAUUAGAGGAAUCAGAUAUGUCUGUAGUCUCAGUAGAAGAAAAUCAGUAUUUCUGUAAUUUCAACAAAGGUAUUCCUGUGUUCAGUCAUAGAAGUACCUCAGUCUUAGGAACACCAAGGCAAAUCCAGUGUUCUUACUUCUUGCCUAGAAAUAAACAAACAAAACCAAACAACAACACAACAUUUGCAACAUUUGUGAUUUCAACUGGAUGAAAUAAUCUUGCUUUUCCCAUCCUAAACUGCCAAAACCAUUUGCAAUCCAUUCUGACAAAUGCUAAGUAUUCUUUAGGUACAUCUGCAAAUUAUACUUGGAAGUAAGUUAACAUACAGAAAUAGUUUGAUACUUCUGUUCAGCCAAAGAGCACAAGAAUUUCUUCAAAUGACCUUUUCCAAAAAUCGUUUGAUCUUACCUUCUUUUUUUUUUUUUUUUUUUCCAUCACAGUGGAUUGUGGUUCCAUAAUCAUUCUGAUUCUUUUUCUCAUAUACUAAAUUUUAAUGUGUACCUAAAUGUAUAGCUUCAAAAGUGCAAUAAUCUUUUCUCUGUGAUCAAGCUCACACAAGCACAGAUGAUGUAGUCUUUUUUCAAAUGUAUCUAGGGGAAAUCCAGUGUCACCUCUUUCUCACUGGAGCCCCACUACCUUUUUGUUCUCUAUUUUUAUUGAUACAAACAUUUCACUUUUAGUUAACAAUUAUAAAUCAUAAUAAAGUUUUCAGUCUCUGCUU